AAGGCGAUAACGGGUAGCUGGUCUGAGAGGACGACCAGCCACACUGGAACUGAGACACGGUCCAGACACCUACGGGUGGCAGCAGUCGAGAAUCUUUCACAAUGGGGGAAACCCUGAUGGAGCGACGCCGCGUGGGGGAUGAAGGGCUUCGGCUCGUAAACCCCUGUCAUUUGUGAGCAAAGCAAACCGGUGAAUAACCGUUUUGUCUGAUAGUAGCGAAAGAGGAAGGGACGGCUAACUCUGUGCCAGCAGCCGCGGUAAUACAGAGGUCCCAAGCGUUGUUCGGAUUCACUGGGCGUAAAGGGUGCGUAGGUGGUGGCGUAAGUCCAAUGUGAAAGCUCCGGGCCCAACCCGGAAAGGUCAUCGGAAACUACGUUGCUUGAGGAUUGGAGAGGAGACUGGAAUUCUCGGUGUAGCAGUGAAAUGCGUAGAUAUCGAGAGGAACACCAGUGGCGAAGGCGAGUCUCUGGACAAUUCCUGACACUGAGGCACGAAAGCUGGGGGAGCAAACAGGAUUAGAUACCCUGGUAGUCCCAGCCCUAAACGGUGCACAUUUGCUGUGGGCGGAAUCGACCCCGUCCGUGGCGUAGCUAACGCGUUAAAUGUGCCGCCUGGGGAGUACGGCCGCAAGGCUAAAACUCAAAGAAAUUGACGGGGGCCUGCACAAGCGGUGGAGUAUGUGGCUUAAUUCGAUUCGACGCGAAGAACCUUACCUGGCCUUGACAUGCAGGUGGUAAAAACCUGAAAGGGUAAUGACCCCGCAAGGGGAGCCUGCACAGGUGCUGCAUGGCUGUCGUCAGCUCGUGUCGUGAGAUGUUGGGUUAAGUCCCGCAACGAGCGCAACCCUCGUGUCCUGUUGCCACUCCCGAUUCGUCGGGAAGCACUCUGGACAGACCGCCCCGCUUAAACGGGGAGGAAGGUGGGGAUGACGUCAAGUCAGUAUGGCCCUUACGGCCAGGGCUGCACACGUACUACAAUGCCCGCUACAAUGGGACGCAGAGCCGCGAGGCCGAGCAAAUCCUUAAAAGCGGGCCCAGUUCAGAUUGUCGGCUGCAACUCGCCGGCAUGAAGCUGGAAUCGCUAGUAAUGGCGCAUCAGCUACGGCGCCGUGAAUACGUUCCCAGGCCUUGUACACACCGCCCGUCACAUCAUGAAAGUCGGCUGUACCCGAAGUCGCCGUGUCAACCGAAAGGAAACAGGUGCCGAAGGUAUGGCUGGUAAUUGGGAUGAAGUCGUAACAAGGUA
rnacentral:rRNA from 1 species